UCUGAUGUGGACAGAGAUAUGGCUACCGAGUCCUGGGGAUCGUUCGCCAGCCGUUGUCCAGCACACAUGGACUUCAGUAUCUGGAAGACGGCCAGAGGAGCCACGUUCAGAUUCAGCAAGUCCACCAGGAUCCUGGGAAAAUAAAUGUGGUGCUUAGCGAAACCUGAGAGCCUCAGAGCAUUCCAGUUCCAUGUGUUUGGCCAGCUGGGCCACCGCCAUGGAAACUCGUACAGAGACCGGGAGUUUUCAGAGUAGCGGAUCGGGGCUGUCGGGGUCCUGAGGCAGGCUCAUCUGCAGGGAGUGUGAGCUCGAAGCCCUGACCCUUGCCUUCUCACUUGAAAACAUCCGGGUCGAUGAUGGUGCCAGCAGCCUGUGCAAGUUCGUACAGCUCCAUUUCCUCGGCUUCCAGCGCCUUCUUCCGCCGAAGCGACAACUUUUGCAGCGUCGCCGCCUCCAGCCCUGUGGAUGUGCCCAGUCCGGCACCACCACCCGCUGCCGCCAUCAGCGCAGCUUGAAAAAAAGCAUCUUGUGGUGGUGCCAUUCUCCUCCUGAUAAGGUAGAGGAAAUAUCAUGGAAGGAUCUCAGUAAUGCCAAUUUAUCACCAGAGUUCAGACAAAUAGGUUCAAGGUGGUAUGUCUCCACCCUGGUGAGCAUUGUGUUCCUGAGCCACAUGGCAGAGAACAACUUUGAAAACUACUGGAACAAAGAGAUUUUUUUGAGUUCCUGUCCCAAAAUGAUAUCCUGUACCAGAGAAAAAUUUCCAUCCUUGGGCGAAUAGAACAUCAGCAAAAGAUCCACUCCAUCAGGAAGCCUGCACGUCACCUCAUCCUCCUUCCCUUUCCUUUAAGGAGGAGAUGCCGUGAGCUGACUCUACCAGAGUUCAUGGCAUCAGCAAAAGGCAACAAAGUGCAGGAGGUAAAUGAAAAAGGUACCAAGGGCUUCUCUAGGUCCAGCUCAUCUGACUUAUACAUCAGAUAUUAACUCACCUGUGAAUUCUGCUGCACAGGGUGAUUGUUUGAAGGCAUUAAGCAAGUCUGAGGAGACAGAAAAUGCUGCCCCAUUUGGUGACACAUGUAAGGGGACACGUGGAGGCUGAGAUGGACAAGACUGGCAGCACUGUCACUUUUAUCCUCACAGCUCUGGAUGUCUUAGGGUUCUCGGAGGAUACCGACUACCAAAAGGACCAGAGGAUGUUACUGACAUUAGAGAGAACAACAUCACCAUUGCAGAACAUUAUCAGCCAGAUUGCGUGGGAUCACAUAUAUAAUGUGUCCCCUCCCCGUCAUGGAAACAACCAACAUGAAAUAGUCAAAGACAUGCUUCAGCAUCUGCAAAUGAGCAGCCCCAGGAGGCACCCAGAGACUCCAAGAAGCACAGCAGAAGGGACUGGAAGGAGCAAGGAGGCAGAUUAGGAACCUGUUUAGAAGGUUUUGUUGCUGUUUUCCCAUCCCAAGGACAAAAGACACAGCAUCCAGGGUUAAAGAUGAGCCCAGGCCCAUGGUUCCUAAACCAUUGGUCUGUGUUCGGCCUGGUGUGACUUAACAGCCCUGGAGGAGCCAGGCCAGAACUUCAAAGGAGGUGUACCCCAAACCUGUUGUUACCUGCCAGACACCUCCAGCAACCAGGUCGCCUUCUCUGUACCCUCCUCUCCUGCAGAGUAUGAGCAACCAUGUCCCCACUGUUUGAAGAGCAUUGUUCCUCCAGCACUAGUGACUGGACAGAGAAGCCAGCCACAUAACCACCUUGUUAUGACGAGGCAGCCAUCCCUCCUCUGUAGUCCACGUGACAGAAGGUCCACAACCAAGAAGGAGAGGAGCGGAAUUCCCCUGAAGAGGAGGUUAGGAGCGAAUGGUGCAUGGGUACCCUGAGAAGACGACCCUAUCUUCCUCAUGGGUUCCAGCUUGCUCCAAGCUGCAGCAGCCUCCUUCCUUCAAACCCCAAGGUGCUGUUGUCCCAUCCAAGGAGUAUUCACACAGAUAAAUUUCAUGUCCCCGUGGGGGAUUCCUUGGCUUUAAUUGAGCGAAGGUCUACGAUCGUUCUGUCUGCUGUGAAUGGAGGCUGCUAGCCUUGGUCACUAGGAAUGAGGACCUCCGUGCAAGCUCAGCAAUUUCUCUGGAAAAGAGUUCCUGAACCAUACCUGUAGCCAAGACCAAGCUGCUUUGACAGUCUACACUGCUCCACCUUGUGGCGAUGAUGACACAGUGGGUUCUCAUAAUGAGGACUGGACUCCCUGAAACCUUUCCCAGCUGCUCCCGGGCCCAGGAGACAGGAACAAGGUGCAGAAAGACACAAAAUGCUUUCUCUUCCAGCAUCUGCUUACUGAAUUGGCCUUUUCUUGCAUUGUUUGUUUGUUUGUUUCUAGUUCAUGGCUAUGACAAUACUAUGACCCAGACAACUUACAAGGGAAAGCGUGUUAUGUAUGGUCGUCAUUUCUAAAGGCUUAGAAUAUGUGACCGUUCUAGGAAAGGCAAUGUAGCAAUAGUCAGGCUGUCAUUUUGUUAGAGCAGUCACUGAUAGUUUACAUCUGGUUCUCACGCAUAGUCUGAGAGAGAGACAGACAGACAGAUAGAGAUGGAUUUGUAGAGAGAGAGCUUACUUGGAAUGGUUUUGGCUUUUGAAUCCUUAAUGCUUUGUAACUCCCUAGUGACACACCUCUUCCAACCAACCUUCUGGUCCUUCCCAAUCUGUGGGCUAAGUAUCCAAACAUAUGCAACCCUGGGGUCCAUUCUCAUUCAAAAUAAUACCGCGAAUUAUCUAAGCACUUCACAAGGGCCCUUGGGGUAACAGUACACUGUGUUCUGACUGGUGAAAUCGCCCCCUAUGCUCUGACGGCAUUUUCAGGGUGCAGAAGUGUCGCUGUGUCUCUCUUCCCCAGCAGGUGUUCUAGGAAACAUCCUCAAUGUUUUCCAGCCUCGUCCCUCGUGAUCAUCUCAGGAAGAUGUGAGAAGAGACGAUUGCGAUCCAUUUCUUUCCCUCAGAAACUUUUUGGGGGAAGCUGCAUUCACACCGGCCCCAUGUUUGGCUCCCUAAACCCAUGUUGGAUGUCUUACGACCACCACACAAGAUGUGUCUCCUGAAGAGCAUUAUUGAGUGUCUGGAAUCUGAAGAACAGCAGAUGAGCUCUCUUGACUGUCUGGCUGGGAGGGACACAGCCCAACAGCCCUUGGCUUCUUGUGGGAGACUUGACCACAAUACGUCAGAGCUAUGGACCCCGUGCAUGCGUGACAGCCCUGGCAUCCAAACAUAGGUCACUUAAGGAAACUUUAACAGUGUAAUUAUCUCUAUAAUUAAACAAGAUUUCUACAGGCCUGGUGUGGAAAUUAUUUUAUUAAA